AAAUUGAAGAGUUUGAUCAUGGCUCAGAUUGAACGCUGGCGGCAGGCCUAACACAUGCAAGUCGAACGGUAACAGGAAGCAGCUUGCUGCUUCGCUGACGAGUGGCGGACGGGUGAGUAAUGUCUGGGAAACUGCCUGAUGGAGGGGGAUAACUACUGGAAACGGUAGCUAAUACCGCAUAACGUCGCAAGACCAAAGAGGGGGACCUUCGGGCCUCUUGCCAUCGGAUGUG
rnacentral:rRNA from 1 species